rnacentral:snoRNA from 1 species
CCCCGGGUUGAUAACUAGAUGAUAUGCUCGGUUUAAUUUCAGUCCCAUAUUGUCCUUUAAGUAUCCGGAAAAUUGACUGUGUGGAAAUGCUUCUUACACGAUUUUAAAAUCUCUCAUUGUCUCAAUAAGGGUUUCCAUUUUUUUCAAUCGUUUACUUUUCCUCCACAUCU